rnacentral:rRNA from 1 species
GAUCAUCAAGUACAGUCCCCUAUCCUUACAGCGUCCAUGAAGAAUGCAGCUAGCUGCGAGAAUUAAUGUGAAUUGCAGGACACAUUGAUCAUCGACACUUUGAAUGCACUUGCAGCCCCGAGUUCCUCUUGGGGCUAUGCCUGUCUGAGAGUCG